rnacentral:rRNA from 1 species
CCUAAUACAUGCAAGUCGUACGCUUCUUUUUCCACCGGAGCUUGCUCCACCGGAAAAAGAAGAGUGGCGAACGGGUGAGUAACACGUGGGUAACCUGCCCAUCAGAAGGGGAUAACACUUGGAAACAGGUGCUAAUACCGUAUAACAAUCGAAACCGCAUGGUUUUGAUUUGAAAGGCGCUUUCGGGUGUCGCUGAUGGAUGGACCCGCGGUGCAUUAGCUAGUUGGUGAGGUAACGGCUCACCAAGGCCACGAUGCAUAGCCGACCUGAGAGGGUGAUCGGCCACAUUGGGACUGAGACACGGCCCAAACUCCUACGGGAGGCAGCAGUAGGGAAUCUUCGGCAAUGGACGAAAGUCUGACCGAGCAACGCCGCGUGAGUGAAGAAGGUUUUCGGAUCGUAAAACUCUGUUGUUAGAGAAGAACAAGGAUGAGAGUAACUGUUCAUCCCUUGACGGUAUCUAACCAGAAAGCCACGGCUAACUACGUGCCAGCAGCCGCGGUAAUACGUAGGUGGCAAGCGUUGUCCGGAUUUAUUGGGCGUAAAGCGAGCGCAGGCGGUUUCUUAAGUCUGAUGUGAAAGCCCCCGGCUCAACCGGGGAGGGUCAUUGGAAACUGGGAGACUUGAGUGCAGAAGAGGAGAGUGGAAUUCCAUGUGUAGCGGUGAAAUGCGUAGAUAUAUGGAGGAACACCAGUGGCGAAGGCGGCUCUCUGGUCUGUAACUG